GAUCACGUGGCCUAAUGGAUAAGGUGUCUGAAUUCAGACUAGAAGACUAAGGAUUUGAGUCCCUUUGUGGUUG